rnacentral:rRNA from 1 species
GAUUUGGGAGUGCUCGAAAGAGAACCAUCACACAGGUGCUGCAUGGCUGUCGUCAGCUCGUGUCGUGAGAUGUUGGGUUAAGUCCCGCAACGAGCGCAACCCUUGUCAUUAGUUGCUACGAAAGGGCACUCUAAUGAGACUGCCGGUGACAAACCGGAGGAAGGUGGGGAUGACGUCAAGUCCUCAUGGCCCUUAUGGGUAGGGCUUCACACGUCAUACAAUGGUACAUACAGAGGGCCGCCAACCCGCGAGGGGGAGCUAAUCCCAGAAAGUGUAUCGUAGUCCGGAUUGGAGUCUGCAACUCGACUCCAUGAAGUUGGAAUCGCUAGUAAUCGCGGAUCAGCAUGUCGCGGUGAAUACGUUCCCGGGUCUUGU